CCUCAUCUCAAUAUAGUGUCUCACAUGCAGAUGAUCUUGGAAUUGCCGUUAUGAUUACAAGUAUAUGGGAGGCUGAAAGUGAGUUGCUUUCAUAAGUUGGAGACAAGGACUGCGACAACUUGAAUGCGUUUCUCAAGUCUGGUUGCAGCAUAUAAAAAUAAAGAAACUUCGCAAAUGGAUGACGUUGUGGCACUCCCGAAUACAUGACUAAAAUGUACCUGAAGUAGUUGACCACGAGCAAGUCAAGUCUGUCUUUGUGGGUACGCUACAUAAGCUAUAUAUUGGAA